UACGGAGGGUGCGAGCGUUGUCCGGAAUCAUUGGGCGUAAAGGGCGCGUAGGUGGCCUGGCAAGCGUGCGGUGAAAGCUCGGGGCUCAACUCCGAGUCGGCCGUGCGAACUGGGCUCACUGGAGCAUAGUAGAGGCAGGUGGAAUUCCGGGUGUAGCGGUGGAAUGCGUAGAGAUCCGGAAGAACACCGGUGGCGAAGGCGGCUCUCUGGGACGGUACUGACGCUGAGACGCGAAAGCGUGGGGAGCGAACAGG
rnacentral:rRNA from 1 species